rnacentral:precursor_RNA from 10 species
GUCUGUUUCUGUUCAGAAGAUGCAUCAAUGAGUUGGAAGGUUUGGUCUCAGCAGUUCAGACCUUGCCAGAUCUAACUCUUCCAGCUCACUGCUGCAUUGUCAACUCUGCUUCCGCACG